rnacentral:rRNA from 1 species
AGAGUUUGAUCCUGGCUCAGGAUGAACGCUAGCUACAGGCUUAACACAUGCAAGUCGAGGGGCAGCAUGAACUUAGCUUGCUAAGUUUGAUGGCGACCGGCGCACGGGUGCGUAACGCGUAUCCAACUUUCCCGUUACUCAGGUAUAGCCUUGCGAAAGUAAGAUUAAUCCCUGAUGAUAUGUUAAAGUUGCAUGACUUUGACAUUAAAGAUUUAUCGGUAACGGAUAGGGAUGCGUUCCAUUAGGUAGUUGGUGAGGUAACGGCUCACCAAGCCCGCGAUGGAUAGGGGUUCUGAGAGGAAGGUCCCCCACACUGGAACUGAGACACGGUCCAGACUCCUACGGGAGGCAGCAGUGAGGAAUAUUGGUCAAUGGUCGGAAGACUGAACCAGCCAAGUAGCGUGAGGGAUGACUGCCCUAUGGGUUGUAAACCUCUUUUAUAUGGGAAUAAAAAGGUCUACGUGUAGGCCAUUGUAUGUACCUUAUGAAUAAGCAUCGGCUAAUUCCGUGCCAGCAGCCGCGGUAAUACGGAAGAUGCGAGCGUUAUCCGGAUUUAUUGGGUUUAAAGGGAGCGUAGGCGGACUUUUAAGUCAGCGGUAAAACCGUGCGGCUCAACCGUGCCCUGCCGUUGAAACUGGGAGUCUUGAGUGUACACAGGGCAGGUGGAAUUUGUGGUGUAGCGGUGAAAUGCUUAGAUAUCACGAGGAACUCCGAUCGCGAAGGCAUCCUGCCGGGGUACGACUGACGCUGAGGCUCGAAAGUGUGGGUAUCAAACAGGAUUAGAUACCCUGGUAGUCCACACGGUAAACGAUGAAUGCUCGUUGUUGGCGAUAUAAUGUCAGUGGCCAAGCGAAAGCGUUAAGCAUUCCACCUGGGGAGUACGCCGGCAACGGUGAAACUCAAAGGAAUUGACGGGGGCCCGCACAAGCGGAGGAACAUGUGGUUUAAUUCGAUGAUACGCGAGGAACCUUACCCGGGCUUGAAUUGCAGUUGCAUAAGUUAGAGAUAACUUUUCCCUUCGGGGCCACUGUGAAGGUGCUGCAUGGUUGUCGUCAGCUCGUGCCGUGAGGUGUCGGCUUAAGUGCCAUAACGAGCGCAACCCCUGUCCAUAGUUGCCAUCGGGUGAUGCCGGGCCCUCUAUGGAUACUGCCGUCGCAAGGCGUGAGGAAGGUGGGGAUGACGUCAAAUCAGCACGGCCCUUACGUCCGGGGCUACACACGUGUUACAAUGGGAGGUACAGCAGGUCGCUACCCGGUGACGGGAUGCCAAUCCGUAAAACCUCUCUCAGUUCGGACUGGAGUCUGCAACCCGACUCCACGAAGCUGGAUUCGCUAGUAAUCGCGCAUCAGCCAUGGCGCGGUGAAUACGUUCCCGGGCCUUGCACACACCGCCCGUCAAG